CAACAGGCUGGCUGGUGACAAGGGGCUUUGAACAGAGAAAGGGGGAAAUAUUAAAAAUACAAAACAUACAAGUGAGGAGGAUCAACAGAAGGAGGAAAGGUUUAUUAAAGACAGAGGGAUCAUAAAUCCCGUAGGCAAGAUAAGAGAAGAGAGAGAGAGGCUGAGCUGCUGCAGGUGGAGGUCUGUCACCUUUCAUCCGCUGGAGGAAACACGCUGAGGCUCAGCGUUAAGACUCAGACAGAGACCAAGAGGACAGCCAUGUUUUCAGCCAGGCCAGAGAUCCAGCCGUGAAAGACAAGCGGCGGUCGCCCCCCUCUAACAGAUCCCCCUCUGCUGCACAGCGCAACCCUCAUCACAGCGGCUCCACAGACGAACAGGAGAGCCCGGAGAGAGUGGUGCAGAAGGAAAAGCUCCAUGCAGAGUUGAAACAGGUGUUGAGUCAGAAGAGAAGUCACCUGAGAGAGUCGACCUGCCAACUAGCCCAACCAGAGAUGGACUCCGAUGAACAAACUGUAAGAUGCAUGAUGCUGCUAAUGUAGCUUUUUAGGGUUAAUUCUUCUAUUUACCAUAAAACAUAAAUGAUACAGGUGAUGAAUGAGGCUGCAUAC
rnacentral:lncRNA from 1 species